rnacentral:rRNA from 1 species
GGUGCUAUACAUGCAGUCGAGCGGACAGAUGGGAGCUUGCUCCCUGAUGUUAGCGGCGGACGGGUGAGUAACACGUGGGUAACCUGCCUGUAAGACUGGGAUAACUCCGGGAAACCGGGGCUAAUACCGGAUGCUUGUUUGAACCGCAUGGUUCAAACAUAAAAGGUGGCUUCGGCUACCACUUACAGAUGGACCCGCGGCGCAUUAGCUAGUUGGUGAGGUAAUGGCUCACCAAGGCAACGAUGCGUAGCCGACCUGAGAGGGUGAUCGGCCACACUGGGACUGAGACACGGCCCAGACUCCUACGGGAGGCAGCAGUAGGGAAUCUUCCGCAAUGGACGAAAGUCUGACGGAGCAACGCCGCGUGAGUGAUGAAGGUUUUCGGAUCGUAAAGCUCUGUUGUUAGGGAAGAACAAGUACCGUUCGAAUAGGGCGGUACCUUGACGGUACCUAACCAGAGAGCCACGGUUAAAUACAUGCCAACAGCCCUGGUAAUACGUCAGUGGCAAGCGUUGUCCGAAAUUAUUGGGCUUAAAGGGGUUGCAAGCGAUU